rnacentral:rRNA from 1 species
UACAUGGGGUGCAAACGUUGCUCGGAAUCAUUGGGCGUAAAGCGCGCGUAGGCGGUUACUUAAGUCGAAUGUGAAAGCCCUCGGCUUAACUGAGGAAGUGCAUCCGAAACUGAGUAGCUAGAGUACGAAAGAGGGUCGCGGAAUUCCCGGUGUAGAGGUGAAAUUCGUAGAUAUUGGGAAGAACACCGGUGGCGAAGGCGGCGCUCUGGACCGAGACUGACGCUGAGGCGCGAAAGCGUGGGGAGCAAACAGG